rnacentral:misc_RNA from 1 species
GAUGAAGAACGCAGCGAAAUGCGAUACUUGGUGUGAAUUGCAGAAUCCCGUGAACCAUCGAGUCUUUGGACGCAAGUUGCGCCCGAAGCCAUUAGGCCGAGGGCACGCCUGCCUGGGCGUCACACGUCGUUGCCCCCCCAUCUACUCCUUCGGGAUUGCGGGGGGCGGAUGAUGGCCUCCCGUGCGCCUCGUCGCGCGGUUGGCAUAAAUGCCAAGUCCUCGGCGACGCACGCCACGACAAUCGGUGGUUGCGAAACCUCGGUUGCCCGUCGUGUGCGGUCGUCGCGCAUCGAGGGCUCGAAAAAAUUGCCGGGCUCCGGCUCGGCUUUCAACGCGACCCCAGGUCAGGCGGGGUUACCCGCUGAAUUUAAGCAUAUCAAUAAGCGGAGGA